rnacentral:rRNA from 1 species
AGUGAACGCUGGCGGUAGGCCUAACACAUGCAAGUCGAACGGCAGCACAGUAAGAGCUUGCUCUUACGGGUGGCGAGUGGCGGACGGGUGAGGAAUACAUCGGAAUCUACUUUUUCGUGGGGGAUAACGUAGGGAAACUUACGCUAAUACCGCAUACGACCUACGGGUGAAAGCAGGGGAUCUUCGGACCUUGCGCGAUUGAAUGAGCCGAUGUCGGAUUAGCUAGUUGGCGGGGUAAAGGCCCACCAAGGCGACGAUCCGUAGCUGGUCUGAGAGGAUGAUCAGCCACACUGGAACUGAGACACGGUCCAGACUCCUACGGGAGGCAGCAAUGGGGAAUAUUGGACAAUGGGCGCAAGUCUGAUCCAGCCAUACCGCGUGGGUGAAGAAGGCCUUCGGGUUGUAAAGCCCUUUUGUUGGGAAAGAAAAGCAGCAGGUUAAUACCCCGCUGUUCUGACGGUACCCAAAGAAUAAGCACCGGCUAACUUCGUG